UGAGUCUAACGUAAAAUGUAUAAAUAGUGUUAUCUAUGAGAUUUAUUUUAAUUUGCUUAACUCAAAUUAAUUUGGCUUCGGAGCGCGCCAUUUGCGCAUGUGCAAGACAAGCUCAGAGAAGAACAUGGUCAGAGAGCGUGUGUGUCCGCCAUUUUCUCGUCUGCUGCCGAAAGGACUGCUAUGUCGUAUUCGUUAUUGGCCUGAUGAUCAACCUGACUGAAGAUAUAGACUCUUUCUUCAAGGAGUAUGUGGCCACUGAGGAGAUUGUACAGAAGACAUCGGAGUUGUGAUCGAGGGCAUUAAGGUUUUGAGCAACCUAACCUGCGUGAUCCUGGCAUUCAUCAAUCAGUCUCAUUUAUGCUCUUGAUCUUAGUUCUCCUGAAAACCUAAAGUACACCUUCGAGUUUAUCCAGAAAACCUAAUGAACUUUGAUGGACUUGAAUGCAAAGAUCCUGCAACUCAAAAUCAAGCUGUUUGCAUGAGAUGUGCAAUAAUGUGAAUUAUUUGAAAAUACAUGCAGGCGCGCACACACACAAAA